GCCUGAUGCAGCAACGCCGCGUGUGUGAUGAAGGCCUUCGGGUCGUAAAGCACUUUUCUGGGAGAUGAGAAAGGACAGUAUCCCAGGAAUAAGUCUCGGCUAACUACGUGCCAGCAGCCGCGGUAAAACGUAGGAGGCAAGCGUUAUCCGGAUUCACUGGGCGUAAAGCGCGUGCAGGCGGUGCAGUAAGUUGGGCGUGAAAUCUCCCGGCUCAACUGGGAGAGGUCGUCCAAUACUACCGUACUUGAGAGCAGAAGAGGAAGAUGGAAUUCCCGGUGUAGUGGUGAAAUGCGUAGAUAUCGGGAGGAACACCAGUGGCGAAGGCGAUCUUCUGGUCUGUUUCUGACGCUCAGACGCGACAGCUAGGGUAGUAAACGGGAUUAGAGACCCCGGUAAUCCUAGCCGUAAACGAUGUGAACUUGGCGUUGGUGGGUUAAACUCCAUCAGUGCCGUAGCAAACGCGAUAAGUUCACCGCCUGGGGACUACGGCCGCAAGGUUA
rnacentral:rRNA from 1 species